GACGAACGCUGGCGGCGUGCCUAAUACAUGCGAGUAGAACGCACAGUUUAUACCGUAGCUUGCUACACCAUACACUGUGAGUUGCGAACGGGUGAGUAACGCGUAGGUAACCUGCCUGGUAGCGGGGGAUAACUAUUGGAAACGAUAGCUAAUACCGCAUAAUAUUGAUUAUUGCAUGAUAAUUGAUUGAAAGAUGCUAUUGCAUCACUACCAGAUGGACCUUCGUUGUAUUAGCUAGUAGGUGAGGUAACGGCUCACCUAGGCGACGAUACAUAGCCGACCUGGGAGGGGGAUCCGCCAAACUGGGACUGGGAAACCGCCCAGACUCCUUAGGGGAGCAGCAGUAGGGAAUCCUCGGCAAUGGAGGAAAGUCUGACCGGGCAACGCCGCGGGGGUGAAGAAGGUUUUCGGAUCGUAAAGCUCUGUUGUAAGAGAAGGACGGGUGUGGGAGUGGAAAGUGCACACUGUGACGGUACCUUACCAGAAAGGGACGGCUAACUACGUG
rnacentral:rRNA from 1 species